GAUAAGCAGAAAGGUGGUAGUGAUAAGAACAGCAACACAAACUAAGAAAGGGGAGAAAAGAUGGACACUAGCCCCUCCUUCUUCGCGCAGGACCCUGGUGGAGACAACAAUUUGCCGAGGAUCAAAAUCAACUUGUAGACUGCUGUUACCAUAUGGACCACUUGUGCCUGUUUGGAACCUAGAAAGAAUGAAACACAGCGAGUUACAUCUACA